rnacentral:misc_RNA from 1 species
CUGAUAGAGCUUAAAACCUCUAAUACCCUUUGUUAAUCUACCAUUUUAGUUGCUUCGGCGGGCAGUCCCAGGGCGGGACCCAGCCUGUAUUUUGCAGGUGUCCGCCGACGGCACAAAAACUCUAUUUUUCUCUGGCAUCUGAGUACUAUAAAAAAAUAAGUCA